CCUACGGGAGGCAGCAGUAGGGAAUAUUGCUCAAUGGGGGAAACCCUGAAGCAGCAACGCCGCGUGGAGGAUGAAGGUUUUAGGAUUGUAAACUCCUUUUGUUAGAGAAGAUUAUGACGGUAUCUAACGAAUAAGCACCGGCUAACUCCGUGCCAGCAGCCGCGGUAAUACGGUGGGUGCAAGCGUUACUCGGAAUCACUGGGCGUAAAGAGUGCGUAGGCGGGGUAAUAAGUCAGAUGUGAAAUCCUGUAGCUUAACUACAGAACUGCAUUUGAAACUGUUACUCUGGAGUGUGGGAGAGGUAGGUGGAAUGCUUGGUGUAGGGGUAAAAUCCGUAGAUAUAAGGAAGAACACCAGUGGCGAAGGCGGAUGACUGGACGGAAACUGACGGUGAGGCGCGAAAGCGUGGGGAGCAAACAGGAUUAGAUACCCUAGUAGUC
rnacentral:rRNA from 1 species